CCGAGUUAGUGCCCUCACGGGUCCGAUCCUCCCACCCUUGUGUAUCUACAUCCUUGUUGCUUGGCAGGGUGGUCGCAACCCCCGGCUUCGACGGGCGAGGCGGCCUGCCAGAGGUACUUCUCAACACUGCAGUCUGUCAGUGUCGUCUGAGUACAUUAAGGAAAUGUAACA
rnacentral:misc_RNA from 1 species